CGACAGGCUUAACACAUGCAAGUCGAGGGGCAGCACAGGUAGCAAUACCGGGUGGCGACCGGCGCACGGGUGAGUAACGCGUAUGCAACUUGCCUAUCAGAGGGGGAUAACCCGGCGAAAGUCGGACUAAUACCGCAUGAAGCAGGGGCCCCGCAUGGGGAUAUUUGCUAAAGAUUCAUCGCUGAUAGAUAGGCAUGCGUUCCAUUAGGCAGUUGGCGGGGUAACGGCCCACCAAACCGACGAUGGAUAGGGGUUCUGAGAGGAAGGUCCCCCACAUUGGUACUGAGACACGGACCAAACUCCUACGGGAGGCAGCAGUGAGGAAUAUUGGUCAAUGGCCGAGAGGCUGAACCAGCCAAGUCGCGUGAGGGAUGAAGGUUCUAUGGAUCGUAAACCUCUUUUAUAAGGGAAUAAAGUGCGGGACGUGUCCCGUUUUGUAUGUACCUUAUGAAUAAGGAUCGGCUAACUCCGUGCCAGCAGCCGCGGUAAUACGGAGGAUCCGAGCGUUAUCCGGAUUUAUUGGGUUUAAAGGGUGCGUAGGCGGCCUUUUAAGUCAGCGGUGAAAGUCUGUGGCUCAACCAUAGAAUUGCCGUUGAAACUGGGGGGCUUGAGUAUGUUUGAGGCAGGCGGAAUGCGUGGUGUAGCGGUGAAAUGCAUAGAUAUCACGCAGAACCCCGAUUGCGAAGGCAGCCUGCCAAGCCAUUACUGACGCUGAUGCACGAAAGCGUGGGGAUCAAACAGGAUUAGAUACCCUGGUAGUCCACGCAGUAAACGAUGAUCACUAGCUGUUUGCGAUACACUGUAAGCGGCACAGCGAAAGCGUUAAGUGAUCCACCUGGGGAGUACGCCGGCAACGGUGAAACUCAAAGGAAUUGACGGGGGCCCGCACAAGCGGAGGAACAUGUGGUUUAAUUCGAUGAUACGCGAGGAACCUUACCCGGGUUUGAACGCAUUCGGACCGAGGUGGAAACACCUUUUCUAGCAAUAGCCGUUUGCGAGGUGCUGCAUGGUUGUCGUCAGCUCGUGCCGUGAGGUGUCGGCUUAAGUGCCAUAACGAGCGCAACCCUUGCCACUAGUUACUAACAGGUUAGGCUGAGGACUCUGGUGGGACUGCCAGCGUAAGCUGCGAGGAAGGCGGGGAUGACGUCAAAUCAGCACGGCCCUUACAUCCGGGGCGACACGCGUGUUACAAUGGCGUGGACAAAGGGAUGCCACCUGGCGACAGGGAGCGAAUCCCCAAACCACGUCUCAGUUCGGAUCGGAGUCUGCAACCCGACUCCAUGAAGCUGGAUUCGCUAGUAAUCGCGCAUCAGCCAUGGCGCGGUGAAUACGUUCCCGGGCCUUGUACACACCGCCCGUCAAGCCAUGGGAGCCGGGGGUACCUGAAGUCCGUAACCGAAAGGAUCGGCCUAGGGUAAAACUGGUGACUGGGG
rnacentral:rRNA from 1 species